GGAGAGGUGUCCGAGUGGCCUAAGGAGCACGCUUGGAAAGCGUGUGUACGGAUUUCCCGUACCGCGGGUUCGAAUCCCGCCCUCUCCG
rnacentral:tRNA from 1 species